CCUAACCACAAAAACAACUCCUGCAAUUGGCACCGCUUCUGUCACCACAGCAACCAGCGCUUCUAGAAAGGCUAACGCAUCGGUUUGGGACUCACAGCCAAAUGAAGAUUUCCGCAGCUCGGUGUGCUUCUCCCUCAUCCCCGACCCCUCCUCUGGGACCGUCCAGAGCAGAGCCCCGAGCGGCUGGAUGACUACAGAACCAAGCAGGCCCACAGCUGCUGGCUUCCGUCCAACGCGUGGCUGCACACCAAGGCCCCAAAUGCUGAGACAGGUCCUCCAUCAACAUUUCCUGAAUUGAACUGUGAGCCUCAUACCAACGGAGCAUUAGCAGUAGACCAAGAGCUUGUGCAUCUAAGACAGCUCAUCCAUCCACAGCUCUCGGCGCUUCUGCCCACAGUCUGCGCUUGAUAAACACCAGCUGAAGGAACAACCUCACAGACACCAUUUCCUGACCUCUGGACGUGACCGUCAGCCCCCGCAGCACAAGGCCCACCAUCUCCUGCUUCUCUGGGGCCUGCCUGGGCCUCGCACACACCGUACUGCACACAGCAGGUCCUCACUAAAGACUCAUCAUGGGCCUCCGCACGCUGCAUGCGCAAGUUAAAAGAAUAAGAUAUCCGUUUAUUUUCCUCCAGCAGAGCAGAAGAGAGAUUUAAAUAUUUGAUACCUGGUAUCGGAGAGAAUAAAGGGAAGCAAAC
rnacentral:lncRNA from 1 species